GGCUACAUGGCGCAAUGGUAGCGCGUUUGGCUUCGAUUGCUGAAACUACUCUACCAAAAGGUUGCAGGUUUGAGUCCUGCGGUGGUCA